CGAUUCCAAGAGAGAAAGGGUGUCAAGAUAGUGGUGGGGAGGCCUGACAGAGAAGGGAUGAUUCUUCAGGGUCCCGGGAUCAUUCCAACCAUUUCAAAUUCCGUGCUGUCACUAGAGCAUCAUUAAAAGUCCUUUAAGAAACUGGAGAAUAGACUAGAUCACCAAAGGCAGCAUUGUCCACCUCCUCUCUGCCUUGCUCCAGCGCGUUUUCCUUUCCAGCUGACAGAAGGGGCAAAGCCGCCAUUUAGCACAGUGCCUGGUAAUCAAAGAAGAGUUUCUACAAGGGUAGAGGCUUAAUGAAGAUGCUUGUGAAAUUUCCUGGAAUUCAU